CUUAACCAUCUCAAGAGCUACAUGAUACAUCAAAGCAUAACGCAAACUACAAUCACGAAAACACGAUUUAUGCAAGAAGUAGACACUAAUAAAGUGACACUGACCUUGCCCUCAGAAGAAGAGAACUCAAUCGCGGGAGGAGAAGGAAGAGGUCGUUUGUAAAACCCAUUACACAUGGAAAUCUGUUCACUUUUCUUCUGCUUCAACCCCCACCAUUCUGUUUAACCUUUGAAGAAUAUUGCUACGGUUUUCCAUGACAAAAUCGUUAGAAACUGGGAGGAGAGAAAGGAAGGAAGAAAACUUGCUUCAUGCGAUCACUUAGUUGUGGAGUUUAUGAAGAGCAAGGCACGAAGUAGUACGUGGACUUUUCCAAUCUGUGACGCUUGGACUGCACUGCGACAUGUUUGAAACAUGAGAUAUUAUAUUGUUGUGAUUGUGAUUGAGGUCAACGAUGGAAAAUUUGGUAAUCCCAAAUCUGGUUGUUUUCGAAAUGCCACGGCUUUUAAAGUCUUCCAUAACAGCAAGGAUAAGAUUGUCGUUUUCUCGGGAAGGGGUUGCCAUUGCAAAUUUGGUAUCCCAAAUCUGGGAUUUUAUUUGACUAUAAAAUUAAUAUGUUAAUUAAGUGAAAGGAAUUACGUGAUAUCUAAUAAGUUAAAGACAUUGUCUUUCUGGGUCUUCGAUUGAUGUAAUCACAUCUAAAAGAGUUUGGAAAUCGAGUUAAAGAUAAAUGAAAGAUUCAAUUUUUUUGUAGAACCUCAAAUAGAAAGUAGCAAAAGGUUAUGUUGUAAAAGAAAUAUUACGAAUUUGGCACUCCUCGUAUCGUAUACAUAUUUUUUAAUGUUGAUUGACUUAUACGCACUACUAUUAAAUAACUAUUUAGGCUGUAUAAACUUUUUAAAAAUAUAAUAUUUUUCUAAAUACACUAUCAUAACAAGAGUACGUUUACCAGUUUGAAUGUUUCACUCCCAACCUAUUGCUACCUGUAUUCACAUCAAACGUUUAUGUACUUUAUAGUGAUGCACAUUUGAUGCAAAAAAAUUAAAAAAAUCAAGUUGACAAUGAGUCAAAAUUAUCUUCAAAACGUAUUGAUUGAUAAACAAGUGAAUUAUUAGAAUUUUCUUUCAAGAUUGGAUUUAAAAUUUGGUUUAGCAAUACCUAAUUCAUCCAAAAUAUGCAUGAACUCAAUCUAUGAUAAACGAGUGAAUAACUAAUUUACCUGUUCAUAUCGAAAUACAGAGAGAGUGCAUUCCCUGAGAGAAAAGAGUGAUAGAUGUGGCCACUCUUUGGUAUAAAAAUUGGGUUGGGUCAAGCUUUUCAAUUUCUUAGUAUUAGGAACUUUUUAUUUCGUAUCUAAUUUAGGUUACUAUACUUCUUUUGCGCGUUUUGUUCAUGGUCAAAAAGACAAACGCACAAGUUUUUUUUUUUAACGAACGAAGAGUUUGAUGUGGGGUUUAAGUGGAGAGUGUGGAUAAAACAAACCAAAAUCAAACAAGCUCAAUGUGUAAUGUUGGGAUCACUCGAUGUUACACCGUGAAUUAUUAUGCAAUAAAGUUCCAAGAUAAUGUUAGUAAAUGCAUUUUAUUUUGAGCGAUCCUUUUUUUUUUUAAUUUAACAAACAAUAUUUUUAUAUUUUUAUUUACAUUUCCCAACCAAAAUAAGUAUUUUACAUUCCUCAGAUAGCUCUCUAGCCUUAAGAAAUGUAAAAUGAGGUUCUAACACUAACGUGUUCUAACACACAAACACUAAUGUGUUGUGUUUACAUAUCAUUCUUGCACUGAGGUUCUUAAUUAUGAAAGGCCAUUAUAAUAAUGAACCCAAACAUAAUAACCCUAAUGUGUUUUAACACAAACACAAAUAAACCUACUAAUUAACCCUUUUUUUUAACAAGCAAUACUUUUGGAGGAAGAAAUUGAACACAAAAUCUCUGUGCAACUGUAGACACUCUUAACCAUCGCAAGAGCUACAUGAUAUGUCAAAGCAUAACGCAAACUACAAUCACGAAAACACGAUUUAUGCAAGAAGUAGACACUGAUAAAGUGACACUGACCUUGCCCUCAGAAGAAGAGAACUCAAUCGCGGGAGGAGAAGGAAGAGGUCGUUUGUAAAACCCAUUACACAUGGAAAUCUGCUCACUUUUCUUCUGGUUCAACCCCACCAUUCUGGUUAUCCUGUGAAGAAUAUUGCUACGGUUUUCCGUGACAAAAUCGUUAGAAACUGGGAGGAGAGAAAGGAAGG
rnacentral:lncRNA from 1 species